rnacentral:lncRNA from 1 species
CUCAAGGGCAAAUAACCAGGCAGCAGCCACCAUAGAAUGAAAGGGCACCAGGAAGGCAUGCUUCUUCUUCUGUGUUCCGGGGCCCAGAGCUGCCUGCCUCUAACUCCGUUCUAUGGUUCUCUACCCUUUCUGCAAAUCACGACAACCUGACCUGAGGGAGGAUGGACCAGGCGGGUCUCGACAUCUGUUGGGCUGUACGCCAUGCUCCUUCGCACCCCUACCAACUUUCUAAGAGUUUCUCUCAUGUCCCAAACAGUCAAGGAAUGGGAACCAACAUGUUAUGGAAUCUUAAGUUCAAGCUGGCCCAACAUGGGCCUCCUGAAGCUAUGCUCACCCCACCUCUUCGUUUUAGCCACCAACUUAAAAACCAAGAUGACAGUAUUAAUCUCUCAUUCCACCCUAAACCUCUCAUCCAGCAAAGAGGUCUAGGUAGCCAGUCUUAGGUCUGCCCCCCUAUUAACUUCCAUGAUUAACUACAUUCCCUUUGCAACUUGCCUAGCCAACACUGGGGCUGACAGAUCCUGAAAGGGCAGGAUGGCGUGUGACAGAAACCCUGGGAGAGUUAUUGUUGGGCAUGCCCCAUUAACCUCAGUAAAGCACAGGUGCCCAGGGCCAAGCAGAUCGAGGGAGCCAAAGCAGUCACUCCCAGGAGCGAUGCCCACUUUUCUUCCUUUGGUAUGACGCAUACAGAAUGGGAUGACAUUCCUUAUACCUGACAAGAAACAAAACUGAAACCCCAACAGCACAUGUGCUCCAGUGCCAGGAGGCCAGGGUCUGGAAUGGCAUGUCUAGUCCUGGAGGUACAGUCCAGUGACCUGUAAGUGCCAUGUAAGGAAUGUUACCGGAUAUUUGCAACAGUUUUCUUCCUUAGGCCCCAAACCCCAGACUUUUCUAUGAAGUCUUAGAUUUUUUAACUAUUAGAAACAAAUUGUUUUUUAUAUACUGUUCAGGCC